AGGAGAUAUGCCCCUGGAAGCCCAAGCUGCCAUGUGAGGUGUCCAGAUACCCUAAAGCUGCCAUGAUACAGAAAACAAGUAAAGAGAAAUCCUCGAGGAGCCCACUUGUUUGAGCCAUUGGCUUUGGAAACUUCUAAGCUGGGGCAGCAGGCUUGUGUGUGAAAAAGCCUUCAAAAUGGCCCCAGGCCCAGACACCAUUCGCUGGUAACCUCAUGAGACCCCAAACCACUGAGCUGAGCCACUCCCAAGUCCUUGAAUCACAGAAGCACGAGAGCAAAAGCCAAGACUCUUGUGCCAGCUUGAGAGGUAUGAAUAUGAAAAUUCACAACUCCCUGAAGCCUUCCCUGAGCUACCGAGAAUGUCACUUCAUCCACUGCCUGGCCGAGGAGGAAGGGAGUUGGAGAGGGACAGGGGCUACCAAGGGACUGUGGAAGUCAUUAGCAGGUGAUUGGAACACAGCGGCAUCCCUGAUACAAACAGAAUGUCAUUUUUUUAGGGCAAAGACAUAUAAGCCUCUAAAGGGUUUAGUAUAUUGA
rnacentral:lncRNA from 1 species